rnacentral:rRNA from 1 species
AGCGAACGCUGGCGGCAGGCUUAACACAUGCAAGUCGAGCAGGCACUUUCGGGUGUCAGCGGCGGACGGGUGAGUAACGCGUGGGAACGUGCCCUCUGGUUCGGAAUAACUCAGGGAAACUUGAGCUAAUACCGGAUACGCCCUUUUGGGGAAAGGCUUGCUGCCGGAGGAUCGGCCCGCGUCUGAUUAGCUAGUUGGUGAGGUAACGGCUCACCAAGGCGACGAUCAGUAGCUGGUCUGAGAGGAUGAUCAGCCACACUGGGACUGAGACACGGCCCAGACUCCUACGGGAGGCAGCAGUGGGGAAUAUUGGACAAUGGGCGCAAGCCUGAUCCAGCCAUGCCGCGUGAGUGAUGAAGGCCUUAGGGUUGUAAAGCUCUUUUAUCCGGGACGAUAAUGACGUUACCGGAGGAAUAAGCCCCGGCUAACUUCGUG